AUGUGUUUACCCCCGUAAGUGCUGGACAUUUUGUCCAGAGGAUACUGUGAUCAAAAGCAUUAAUGAUGUGAUCAAAAGCAGAAAUGAAAAAAGGAUAAAUAGCUGGCUUCCCUUGAUCAGCUAGAAUGGUUAGAAGAAGCUGUUUUAUCAGAACAUUUCUCCAAUUCUGCCAAUUUUGAUCCAUUUUGAGUUAAAAAAAGGCAAUGAUGAAAGAAAUGCUGCUGAAGAACUUUCACUGUCAUAAAAGCAGGAUCCUGUUGAAGAAAUGGACAAAUCACUCUCAUUCAUUUGCUACAGACUGCCUCU